GAUGAACGCUGGCGGCGUGCCUAAUACAUGCAAGUCGAGCGAACAGAUGAGGAGCUUGCUCCUCUGACGUUAGCGGCGGACGGGUGAGUAACACGUGGAUAACCUACCUAUAAGACUGGGAUAACUUCGGGAAACCGGAGCUAAUACCGGAUAAUAUAUUGAACCGCAUGGUUCAAUAGUGAAAGGCGGUUUUGCUGUCACUUAUAGAUGGAUCCGCGCCGCAUUAGCUAGUUGGUAAGGUAACGGCUUACCAAGGCAACGAUGCGUAGCCGACCUGAGAGGGUGAUCGGCCACACUGGAACUGAGACACGGUCCAGACUCCUACGGGAGGCAGCAGUAGGGAAUCUUCCGCAAUGGGCGAAAGCCUGACGGAGCAACGCCGCGUGAGUGAUGAAGGUCUUCGGAUCGUAAAACUCCGUUAUUAGGGAAGAACAAAUGUGUAAGUAACUAUGCACGUCUUGACGGUACCUAAUCAGAAAGCCACGGCUAACUACGUG
rnacentral:rRNA from 1 species